GGGGAGGUGGAGGGCUUGGCCCAAGGCUACAUCCCUGGAAGCCAAAGAAAGGGGAAGAUGAGAUGGUAAACACAACAAGCAUGGCCAAGUGUCCGACCCCAGGAAGCACCCCAUCAGGAAGGGAUCGUCGCUGGUGAAUCGUGUAUGUGGCUCUGGGACAAGAGGCAGGUGAUGGCCAGAACAGAGCAGAGAAGCCAGACUGACCCUCCCAGCACCAGCCUCCCAGGGAAAGCCCAGGAACACCCAGAAUGGGUCAAGAAUGAGAAAUAACACAGGCCUUUUAUUUGCUCCA